CGUGUAGGCGGUCGGUCAAGUCCGGUGUGAAAGCCCGGGGCUCAGCUCCGGAAGUGCAUCGGAAACUAGCCGACUUGAGCGCGAUAGAGGAGGGUGGAAUUCCUGGUGUAGCGGUGAAAUGCGUAGAUAUCAGGAGGAACACCGGCGGCGAAGGCGGCCCUCUGGAUCGUUGCUGACGCUGAGACGCGAGAGCGUGGGGAGCAAACAGGAUUAGAUACCCUGGUAGUCCACGCUGUAAACGAUGGGUACUAGGUGUUCGGGGUGUUGACCCCCUGAGUGCCGACGCUAACGCAUUAAGUACCCCGCCUGGGGACUACGGCCGCAAGGCUAAA
rnacentral:rRNA from 1 species